GAAAUGCGAUACUUGGUGUGAAUUGCAGAAUUCCGUGAAUCAUCGAAUCUUUGAACGCACAUUGCGCCUUCUGGUAUUCCGGUAGGCAUGCCUGUUUGAGCGUCAGCAAAACACCCUCAGUCUGAGUAUUUUUUGUAUUCAGCACUGGUUUUGGGCAGCGGAUGCCGGUGGUUAUUACUUUCCACCUGCGCCCUCCCUAAAAUUGCUGCACGACCGCAAGCCCCUUCUAGCCAGGUCAAUGGAGUGGUGUUACAAUCUUCCAGAAAGCCUGCUGGUAAACUGCUUUGCGGCGUUAAUCCUUAAUGCCUCCCUUGGUGGAGACUUGAAGUUUUGACCUCAGAUCAGACAAGGAUACCCGCUGAACUUAA
rnacentral:misc_RNA from 1 species